rnacentral:rRNA from 1 species
GACGAACGCUGGCGGCGUGCUUAACACAUGCAAGUCGAACGGAAAGGCCCUGCUUUUGUGGGGUGCCCGAGUGGCGAAUGGGUGUGUAACACGUGUGUAACUUGCCCUUGCCUUUGGGAUAACUUCAGGUAACUGGGGCUAAUACCGGAUAGGUGCUCCUGCUGCAAGGUGGGGGUUGGAAAGUUUCGGCGGUUGAGGAUGGACUCGCGGCUUAUCAGCGUGUUGGUGGGGUAGUGGUUUACCAAGGCAUUGACGGGGAGCCGACCCAAGAGGGUGACCGGCAACAGUGGAACUAGGAAGCGGCCCAGGCACCUGCGGGAGGCGGCAGUGGGGAAUAUUGCACAAUGGGCGGGAGCCUGAUGCGGCAACGCGGCUUGCGGGAUGACGGCCUUCGGGUUGAAAACCGCUUUCGCCUGUGACGAGGCGGGAGGGACGAUAAUGGAUAAGGAAGCAGCGAGUAACAACAU